rnacentral:rRNA from 2 species
UGUCGUCAGCUCGUGUUGUGAAAUGUUGGGUUAAGUCCCGCAACGAGCGCAACCCUUAUCCUUUGUUGCCAGCGGUCCGGCCGGGAACUCAAAGGAGACUGCCAGUGAUAAACUGGAGGAAGGUGGGGAUGACGUCAAGUCAUCAUGGCCCUUACGACCAGGGCUACACACGUGCUACAAUGGCGCAUACAAAGAGAAGCGACCUCGCGAGAGCAAGCGGACCUCAUAAAGUGCGUCGUAGUCCGGAUUGGAGUCUGCAACUCGACUCCAUGAAGUCGGAAUCGCUAGUAAUCGUGGAUCAGAAUGCCACGGUGAAUACGUUCCCGGGCCUUGUACACACCGCCCGUCACACCAUGG